AAAAUUGGAAAGAGAAAAAAUUGUUUUGUUUUUUGGGGGUAUUUUUUGAAAGAUUAAGAACUAACGAUUAUAUUUCUGCACUGAAGCGUCGCUGACUCUCUAUGACCUGUGAGUUUGAUCAUGAGUGCAGACAUUUUGCACCUUGUCUCUUUUGAUUUCGGUUCAAAAAAUGAAUAAAAAUAAUCGUAAUAGUUGUAACAGUAGGUAAUAAAUGGCAUUUUCGUUAUUAAUUUCUAAGGGAAUCAACAAAAAGAAAGAAAGAAAAGAACAAGAAAAAGUAAACAAGCGAUGCCCCGGUUGAAAAACGGUUUGUCAAACGAUAAAAACGUGACUCACUUUGGAUAUGAUUGACUGAAUUUUGUCGAGAGAUAUUUGCAGCAACUGGGCAAGCUCGAAGACUUUGUUCGCCCCUCUGUGGAAAGAGUCGGUCAGUUCUUCUAAAGGCGUCAUCUUCCAGUCAUGUAUUGUACGUUUUUAAGAGGAGGAAACUAUAAAUUUAAAAAAACUACGGAAGCCUAAAAAAGAAAAUACGGAAACAACGAAAUUUCUGCCCGAGCGUUUCGAUGCAGCGGCGGCUCGCAAAUUACAUUUAACCCGUUGUUUUGUUUAGCACAGUGAUGUGUUACGUGGGAGGGCGCCGAUACGUAAAUCUCCCGAGUCGUGUUUGUUUUAGACGAUAAAUCUCAAAAUAUGAGUCACAAGACGAGAGUCGUUCAGUCAUCGUGCUAAAGAGACAAGUGGGACCAAUGACCAAUCACCAAUGUCCUCUGGACUUCCUUAGCAGCAC